rnacentral:rRNA from 1 species
AUACGUAGGGUGCGAGCAUUAAUCGGAAUUACUGGGCGUAAAGCGUGCGCAGGCGGUUGUGCAAGACAGAUGUGAAAUCCCCGGGCUUAACCUGGGAACUGCAUUUGUGACUGCACGGCUAGAGUGCGGCAGAGGGGAGUGGAAUUCCGCGUGUAGCAGUGAAAUGCGUAGAUAUGCGGAGGAACACCGAUGGCGAAGGCAGCUCCCUGGGCCUGCACUGACGCUCAUGCACGAAAGCGUGGGGAGCAAACAGGAUUAGAUACCCUGGUAGUCCACGCCCUAAACGAUGUCAACUGGUUGUUGGUCCUUCACUGGAUCAGUAACGUAGCUAACGCGUGAAGUUGACCGCCUGGGGAGUACGGCCGCAAGGUUGAA